GUCACACCGAUGAAUUGAGCCCUUUGAAGAAAAUGAUCCGGGACCCUUGGCUGAGAGCCCAGGAAAAGGCACCGAUCCCCAUAAAUUCAGGGCCAUAAACUGAAUUCAGGGGCAUAACCAGAAUCCUGACAAUGAGCGCACACCGGUAUGCUGCCUGACGCCGAAUGGAUGGCAAAAACUUGUGUUUGUCCAACGUACUUAAUGGGCAGGAUCCCUGACCUUCAACCCACACAGAGGACUGAGGAUUGAACCCAGGGCCUUCCCACUAACCUACAUUCCAACUUUUUAAAAAAUAUUUUUAUUGGGCCAGGGAUUUAGCUCAGCCGUCUGCCUCACAAGCCCAAGGACCCGAGUUCGAUCCCUGGUACCAAAAAUAUAUAUUGGGGGAGGGGGCAGGAUCUCACUAAGUCCCUAAAUUACCCAGGCUGGACUCCAAUUUUCAAUCCUCCUGCCUCAUCUUCCCAGAGUGCUGGGAUUACAGGUGUAUAUCACCAUGAGUGGCUGAAUGAUUGCAUCUUUAUCACCAGGGGUGCGACAGGCUCCUAAGUGUCAGUACAACUGGCUCCAGCACACCACUGUCACUGUCACUGCCCUAGGCCUCCCUUCCCUCCUCUUCUUCCAAACCUAGCUGCCCACCCACCUCCUCCCUCUCAUCUGUUCCUGGUACCCUUCCUUCCUCCCCAUGGAUUUGCUCUUCUUCAGCCCUUGCCUCUGUCCCAGGUAUGAGUACCUCUCCCUGGGUAGCCCCCAGCCAACUUUUCCAGAGCAUACACAAAAGUAGGAGAACAUCAGGAGAAAGAUUUUGAAAGGUGAUGCCUGUGAGAAGCUGAAGGGGCUUGGGGACCCAGAGAGCCUGGGACCAACCCUGCCACAGAAGAGGAACCAGAGCCCAACCCCCAGAUCCUGCCAGUGAGUGAGGGGAAUGACUGACCUCUACCUACCUGACACACUGUCUCAAGCCUCUUGCUGCCACCAUCCUGACGUCAUCAUCAUCAUCAAGCCUCACUAAUUCUUAUGCCAGCACUUCAGUCACUACUGUGAUGAUCUCUCCCACCAUGGACCUUUCAUGUAAAUACAAUUCUACCCCCACCCCCAGUUUACAGAUAAUGAAAUGGAGACUUAGUGAAAUGCAGUGACUUACUGUAAUUGUAUGUGUCAACUUGCCUGGGACAGGAGGCCCAGACAUUCUAGUUGUGUCUGUGAAGGUGUUUCAGGUAAGAUUAAUGUCUGGGGCCGGGGAUUUAGCUCAGUGGUGCCCCACAUGCCUCAUAAGCUCAAGGUCCUGAGUUCAAUCCCCAGUACUGGAAAAAAAAAAAAAUUAAUGUCUGGAUUGGUAGACUGAUCAAAGUGGGUGGCCCUCCCUAGCGUGAGUGGGCCCUACUCAAUCAGAUGAAAGCCUGGUAGACCCAAAAGCCCAACUCGCCUGUGAGUAAGGGGAAGUCCCUUUAGCUGCUGUAGGCCUGGGACAUCAGUCCUUUCUUGCAUUCAGACAGGAACUACACCAUCAGCUUUUCUAGUUCUCCACUUGCUGACUUCAGAUCUUGGGAUGUGUCAGCCUUCUCAUAAUAAAUCUCUAUCUGACUCCCUCCCAUGUAUGUAUGUGUCCUCUUAGUUCUGUGUUUCUGAAAUCCUUGACUACUAUACUCACCAAGGCCGCACAAUUCCUCUUUCUUUGUUCCAUUAUGAGGGUGGGGGCCUGUGUGGGG
ensembl:lncRNA